rnacentral:rRNA from 1 species
CCUACGGGUGGCUGCAGUGAGGAAUAUUGGUCAAUGGACGAGAGUCUGAACCAGCCAAGCAGCGUGAAGGAGGACUGCCCUGUGGGUUGUAGACUUCUUUUAUAUGGGAAUAAAAUGUUCCACGUGUGGGAUUUUGUAUGUACCCUAUGAAUAAGGAUCGGCUAACUCCGUGCCAGCAGCCGCGGUAAUACGGAGGAUCCGAGCGUUAUCCGGAUUUAUUGGGUUUAAAGGGAGCGUAGGUGGAUUGUUAAGUCAGUUGUGAAAGUUUGAGGCUCAAACGUAAAAUUGCAGUUGAAACUGGCAGUCUUGAGUACAGUAGAGGCGGGCGGAAUUCGUGGUGUAGCGGUGAAAUGCUUAGAUAUCACGAAGAACUCCGAUUGCGAAGGCAGUUCACUGGACUGCAACUGACACUGAGGCUCGAAAGUGUGGGUAUCAAACAGGAUUAGAUACCCCGGUAGUC